CAGUCACCAUGUUGUGAGCUGUCCUAUGGCUUGUCCUUAAGUGAGCUUCUGGCCAACAGCCAGAAAAAAGUUGAGGCCCUCAGCUUAACAGCUUGUGAAGAACUGAAUUUUGAUCACAGUCACCUGAGUGAGCUUAUCAACAACUCCUCUAUCAGUUGAACCUUCAAAUGAGAAUGCCGCCCUGGUCAACACCUUGAUAACAGCCUUGUGAGAGACCCAGAGGCAGAAGUCCCCAGGGAAGCCAUGCUUAGAUUUCUGAUACACAGAAACUGUGAGAGUGCUUCUCUUGUGGGAUUGGGCUUAAGGAAAACACUGGCAAAUCUGUGAUACAUAUGAGGAAAGGGGUAUGAUGAAAGGCCUGAAGGAAUUUAUCAGGGAUGUCUAGAAGUAUCCCAAGAAAAGGAAAAAGAAAGACCCAGCUGAAGAAUCCAAGAGGGUACAGGAGAAUUGUCCUCCUCUGCAAUUGUUUAAGCAGUUCCAAGAGUCAGAUCAUGAGGGAGAGCAGGCGUCAUUGUCCCAGCAGGAGUAGGAAUGUGCUGAGAUUCUGAUUGGCCAGCUUGGGUCACUUGCCCAUCUUGCACCAUCUUCAUAUACUGAAUUAUGCCUGGGGAUGGAGCCCUACCUUGACCGUAUUGUCUGCCAGUGGGGCAGAGCUGCUGAGAGAAGGGAGACUGGAUGGUGGGGAGGCAAGCGACAGAUGUGCUGUCGGUUAAGAAAUGGGAUGAGAGAGGAGGAUUCUUUGCCCAUUGAACAUGCUAGUUCAUCUUUUACUGUAGGUUUGCAAAUAAAGGAUGGAAGGAUGGCUUAAUAAUGACCUCUAAAUGUAAGCAAUACUAAAAAUCAGGGAUAAGGACCUGUCAUUUUCCUGGAUUUCAUUUCUCCAUUUAGGACACAACUGACCAAUGUGGUGACAGGAGAGCCUAAUGAAGAGCUUAGGGAGAGAGUGGGGGCUUUCACUUAAUUGGACCAUGCCCGGCAAUGAAAUGGAAUAAUGCAGCCAUCCGCAGAAAACAGGCUGAAAGGACUAGAUGAAUUUUGACCAGAUUUAAUUGUGACCAGAUUGUGGGAGUGAAAAGUUUCAGUGUGAGUCAAGUUAACUGUUUUAUUUCAUGUCCCAUUUUUAAUGCUUCCGUAUAGCCCUCUCGCUUUUUCUAAAUUACAUGCCUCAUUGUAUUUGAGUUCCUCCUGCUUUUGACAGCUCCAUGGCUUCCAAUUUUGCUUCUGCUGCUUUGAUUAUUAUUCCUGAUUUGGUUGUUGAUGAGACAUGUGGUUUUCUUCAAUUAGCUCUGUCACUCUUACAAAUGUGUGUGUCUCGCAAGUGUCCUAAUUAAAGUCAGGAGGAGGAGGGGGGCAGAAAUUACAGGCAAUUACAGCAGUGCCACCCUCCCCUCUCCCUGCUCUUUUCUCCUCAUCAUCGGGGCGCGUUCUUCUGUAUCUCCAUUUUGCAAGCACAUUGAGCAGCCUCUCUGUUUAAAAUCCCAUUAAUUUUUUCUGAACACGAUAUGCCGCUGUGUCAGUGUGUCAUGCAUUAGCUUUCAGGAAACCCCAUAGCUUUCAUUUAGCUUUAUUAAGUACAGUCUCCUCUCUGCCAGUUUCUAUCAUUCUUUCAAUUCGUCCUGAGAUAGAAGACUCCCUUCACCAUUAUGCAUGGUGCUGUAAAGUCUCCCCAAACCUGCGGCCGCCUCUUGUGUGGGCUUACCUUCAGUUCACUCCAUUUCGAUGCUACACACAUUGAUUGAUUCUCUGGGUCUCCGCAACAUGCAGGGCAGCAUGCUAGGAGCCUGGACUACAAAGAUAAGUAAGCGCAAUGAGGCUAAGACAGUGUGGAUACGUAGUAAGAAAAAGCUGGAUUUCAGAGCUGGACACGGCAGAGUUCAAAUGCCUGCUUUGCCAAGUGCUAGCUGUUUGGCCUUGGGUAAAUCACUUAGCUGGUUUUUUUCAUGUGUUAAAAUUAUGCUAAUAAUACUUACCUUGAAGAGUUGUUGUGAAGAUUGGAGUUAAUGUAUGCAAAGUAGCUAGUUUAGUGCCUGCUAUACCUCCAUAAAUGGGAGCUAUAAUUAUUAUCAUGAAUAAGAUAUAGUGUACUUAAGGAACUCACCAUCUACUCAAAGGGAGAGAAGAGUAAAUUAACUCUUAUAAUAUAUUGUUAUAUAUAUAAUAAUGAAAGUAUGUAGGUGGUAAUGGAGUAGCCUCCCUGAAGCUCUGCAUGUUCUCUCUUCCACCCACCUGUCCGUCCUCCCCUAUGUAAUCUACCCUCCAACAUCUCCAAUAUACGUUGGCCACCUGACCUACCCCUUCUCUGUCUCCCUUCACUGGUCUCUGUUCCCUCUGCCUGCAAAGCUCAUCUGCGUGGUCCUUACAUGGCUGUCUCUUCCUCACCACCCACCAUUCAGCUUAGUCAUCUACGAGAAAGGCUUUCCAUUGCCAUCCAGUCUAAAGUAGCUCAUCCACUCACCUCCAUUUUGAAAAACAAAACAGUUUUAUUUACUUCAUAGGAAUUAUCUGCGAUUACCUUAUCUGUUGGUUUUGAUGUUUAUUUCCUGGUGCUCCCCACUGGAUAUAAAUGCCAUGAGGGCAGGGACCAUAUCUGUGUUUGUUCACAGCUGUUUUCCUGUUGACAAGAACAGUGGCUACAACAUAGACCAUGCUAAAUAAAUACUUGGGGGAAUGAAUAGUGGUGGGAGAUACCCAGCAGAGACCUUGAACAGAAGGAGUUCUGUAGUGGUAGGUGUGCAUUUUGCUGUUGCUAUUAUUGACAAGUGCCCACUACCCAACACAUCUACCGUUAAGGGGUCCCAGGUCUAAGGCAAGAGGCUAAGAUAAUGGGAAUCUCACCCAGUGAUGUCUAACUCUGUACUGCUCAACCUGGCUUUAGAAAACUGGUUUUGAAUGUCCUUCUUCAAUCAUCUGCUAUGUGGUUUCUACCUGUUUGAGUCCUUUUUCUUGGACUCAGGCAAAUUCUUGGCAGGAGUCUGGUGAAGGCACCAAGUGGUGGUUCUCAAUAAGUUUUCAUGGAAAUCCAUCUUUGAUUGUGCCUUCUUCUAUGACUUCCCAGUGGGAGGACGAGGAUGAUUAUAGGAAUAAGGUAAAAAGGCAUUUGUGUCUUUGGGAGGCUGAACAUUUAGCUUUAGGCAUGGCUUCUAGAAAUAAGUGCUGACUUUUACAACUAACAUUUCUCUUCCAUUGUCUGACUUGGGCUUAGAAUGACAAGGCAUCAAGGAGUCCUGGCCAGUGUUUAUAAAAAUGUGUGACCUUGAUCAAAAGCAGAGAUUGGGUAAAAUAUAGCAGGCUUAGUGAAAAUCUAUUCCUCCUGUUGGAAAGAUAAUUCAGAGGGCAAGAAGCACAUAUCAAAGUUCCUAAUUUCCUGAGGGGGACCAGUCACACCAUUUUCUUAUAAAAACGACAAAGUUUUUGUUUUAGCUCCACCAAGACUUGUGGUUCUCGUCUGCAAAAAUAUCUGCAAGGCAUCCACGUAGCUUCCAAUCAAGUGGUUAACUAAGACUUUGUAGUUGCUUCAUUGGGGCUUAUGGGGCUUCUUACACCUCUCUUAGAAUUUUAAUUUGCAUCCAGAUAUAUUUAUAUUUUCUCUUAAUUGUCUUUCUCAGUCUCAAUCCAAAAAGGAGCCUGAAGACUUAAUGCAACUUAACUUUUAUCUUUAUAUGAUUACAUUUAAGUGUAAUUUCAGGUGUUAAUGUGACACGGGAACAACGGAUAUGGCCAGGGGACUUAAUCUAAUUCAUUGCAAUUCAUCUAAAGGCCUUGGCAGUGGCAGAAGCUCAAAAAAUUUGUUCGAAUCUCUUAGUCUUUCAAACGCUUGUGAGUCUGUCUUGCCUACACAGACUGUAGAAAUUUGUUCCGUCAUACACACAAAAAAGUGUUUUAGAUGAGCCACAUAAGUAUACUUCAAACGUAUUGUUUAUUAGAAUGAACUGAAAUAGAUAUCAUGGGUAUUUGGGUUAUUAUUAGCUUUCUGUUAGAAUAUCCUUGUGUAGACUGUAAGUCGGGACUUUUAAAUGGUUGGGUCUGAAUCUCCAUUGGCAGAUGCUGUUGGUGUUGGGAUUUUUAACAUGUUGUCAUAUUGCUGGGUUUUGGCACACCAUAUAUUGGAUACAAAUUGAGUUGUUCAUGAUAUUCCAGAUCAUGACAGUUUCCCCAGUGUGCAUACUUGAACCUCUCCUAUUCAAUUUGGAAACAGACCUCAUUUGUUAGAUGGUAAUCAUUAAUAUAUCAGCCAAAGUGAUUCGGUAAUAGUCCUCCAACUUCUUUAGCCAUAGGCUGGACAUGAUCAUAGUCUGGCCAAUAUUAGCCCUUCCAUGGGAUCUUUCCAACUCAAGCUGGGAGAGAAAAACACUCUUGUCUUUUAGUCAGGCAACCGUUAGAAUGUGAGUCUCUUGACACAGGCAGCCACAUUUGCAACAAUGUGGAGGAAGUCUGUUUACAUUAAGAGAAAAUAAAGCCAGUAUUCAUUCAGAGAGAAGCAAAGAGAAGAGAUCCAGCUGCCUAGUCUGGAGUGCCUGGUCUGAUCAUCCCAGCCACACGCUUGCCUGUGCAGGGCACCUGAGCCAAUAUUUUUUGUUUCUUUUGUUUAAGGUAGUUUGAGUAGAGACUUCUGAAGAGUUCUUCACUAACAUAAACCCCAGUUAACACCAAAGUGACAAUAGGGACAUACCCUUCCCAUGAAGUCAACAUGGUAGAAAAACACCAAAACUGAUACAGGAUGAAGAUACAAAACUAUGGGUACCUUAUAAAACAAUAACAAUAAGAAGAGCCUGGAAAUGAGAAAAUAACAUCUCCCCAAGGUGGUAAGGACUCUCAAGAGAAGAACCGCAGAAACUGGGGACCACUCACCCACAUAAUGGGCUAAGUAACGUUCUUGUCAGUAUCACUGAGAAGAAAAGCUGAGCAUUUAUAAAACCUACUGUUUAUUAGGGACAUUGUAUAACUGUCUGUGAAUAAAUUCUCAAUAUCCAGAUGACUCAUAUAUAGAAAAGCUUUUUUAUUACCUGUUCGAUGUUUAUUUAAUGUCCAAAUUUCUGAUAUUAUGAAUUUAUCAAAUAGUAGUA